GACGAACGCUGGCGGCGUGCUUAAUACAUGCAAGUCAACUGAACUUAGGAUAGCAAUAUUUUAAGGGAGGUGGCGCACGGGUGAGUAACACGUAGGUAAUCUGCCUUUAGGUCUGACAUAACCUACCGAAAGGUAGGCUAAAAUCAGAUGAUGCAGCGGCUCGACAUCGAGACAGUUGUUAAAAUCUUCGGAGCCUAAAGAUGAGCCUGCGUCUGAUUAGGUAGUUGGCGGUGUAAUGGACCACCAAGCCUGCGAUCAGUAGCUGGUCUGAGAGGAUGAAUCAGCCACACUGGAACUGAGACACGGUCCAGACUCCUACGGGAGGCAGCAGUAAGGAAUAUUGCUCAAUGGCCGAAAGGCUGAAGC
rnacentral:rRNA from 1 species